rnacentral:rRNA from 1 species
CAAUAGCGUAUGUUAAAGUUGUUGCAGUUAAAAAGCUCGUAGUUGGAUUUCUGGUAGGAUGACUGUGCCCUCAGUAGAGUGUGCGCUGGCGUCUUGCCAUCCUUCUGUUAACCUUUGGGAGCUUCACCGCUCCCUUUGGGGCUCAGAUAUUUUACCUUGAGAAAAUUAGAGUGUUUCAGGCAGGCUAGCGCCGGAAUACAUUAGCAUGGAAUAAUGGAAUAGGACUUUUGCCUCUUCUGUUGGUCAUGGGGUUCGAGUAAUGAUUAAUAGGGAUAGUUGGGGGCAUUAGUACUUCACUGUCAGAGGUGAAAUUCUCGGAUUUGUGAAAGACUAACUUAUGCGAAAGCAUUUGCCAAGGAUGUUUUCAUUAA